rnacentral:lncRNA from 1 species
UUUUGGUGGGGUUCGUGUUGUUUAUUCUUUAGUUUUCUAUGUUGUGUCGUGUGUGCUGUUGUUUGUUUGUCUUUUUUCAUUUUUAGCCAUGGCGUUGUCGGUUUGUUUUAGAUUUAUGAUUUUGACUGUCCCUUUGGUAUUUUUCGUCCCUCUUUUACCCCAUUAUUUUUUAUUAUUGGUCUGAUAAGUUGAAAUUUUGAGGAAAUG